rnacentral:lncRNA from 1 species
CAGGCUUGGAGCAAGCUAUGCCUCCUGCCCAGAGAACCAUCGCAGAGCCAUUUGUUUGCUCCCCUGAGUAUUAGGUGUUUUGUUAGCAGCUCUUCUCUGCCAGUGAGUGGUUUUCAUUGUUUUGUGAAUUUUUAGUACAGAUGGUAUCAAAGGCUAUGUGGCAAGAUGCUAAGCAUAUACUUACGUAGGCUUUUGCGAAGUAGAAAAACAUUGAUUUUUAGUCAUUAAAAAUUUUACAAUUCUGUCUUAUGCAUCACACCGUCUACAGAAGCUAUUGAAGUGCCAUGUCCUUACUGGAUGCUCAGUGAAAAUGUAAGCUGCCACGUGAUGUAGUGGUGUCAAGGCCUUGAUGUUUAGCUGGACUAACCAGGCUUAAGUCCUAGUUCUGUUACUGAAUAGUUGUGUAACCUUGGGUAAGUUAACCUCACUGUGACUCAGUUUUCUCACUCAAAAUGUGGACAGAAACAGUCCCCUAUCUAAAAGGAUUGUAGUGAGAUAAUAUCUGUAAACCAUGGUGCUAUGAAUAUAAAAAGCAUAGUCUGCAACCUCUGCCUCCUGGGUUCAAGCGAUUUUCCUGCCUUAGCCUCCCAAGUAGCUGGGACUACAGGCGCAUGCUACCACACCCGACUAAU